GACGAACGCUGGCGGCGUGCUUAACACAUGCAAGUCACGGGGGGUCGCAGGACCAACCGGCGAACGGGUGCGUAACACGUGAGCAACCUGCCGAUCUGCGGGGGAGUAGCCGGCCCAACGGCCGGGUAAUACCGCAUACGGUCUUGUGGGGGAGUCCCCAGAAGAAGAAACCUCCGGGGGAACCUGUGGGGCAGAUCGAGGGGCUCGCGGCCUAUCAGCUUGUUGGCGGGGUAACGGCCCACCAAGGCGACGACGGGAGCUGGUCUGAGAGGAUGGCCAGCCACAUUGGGACUGAGAGACGGCCCAGACUCCUACGGGAGGCAGCAGUGGGGAAUCUUGCGCAAUGGCCGAAAGGCUGACGCAGCGACGCCGCGUGUGGGAUGAAGCAUUUCGGUGUGUAAACCACUGUUGCCCGGGACGAACAACACUCUUUUGAGAGUGCUGACGGUACCGGGUGAGGAAGCACGGCUAACUCCGUGCCAGCCGCCGCAGUAAU
rnacentral:rRNA from 1 species